UUCCUUCUUUCACCAAUUACAUCCCGUCCUUCAUUCCCCCACCCCCCUCUUUUUCUAUCUCUUCCACCGUCCACAAAUUCUCAAAAUUCCCCAAUUUUAACUGUACAUUUUUCCUUAUUUUCUGAUCUUAAAUUCUCCAAGGAUCUGUGCUUAACUCUUGCUCUUCUCCUUCAUCUUCCUUCUUUCUUUUCUUCGUGAACUCUUGAUUCCUCUUUCUCAGCCUGUUGAGUUAAGGUGCAAUGAGCCCCUGAGACUUCUGAAAUUAAAAUAAAAUUUGAUCAUAUAAUGUCUGAUCGUGUUGCAAAAUCAGAUCCUGAUAGUGAUGGAACAGCUAGGAAAUCUAUGAAUCAUUGCCAAGCUGCUUGGAUGGAUCACUGGAAACAUGCAAGGCAUAAACCAUCCACUGAGGUUCGCAGUCAUUUACUGCACUCCCCUGGACCGAAAAAAGAUGAUCACGAAGAUUUUAAGAAGCACCCUUUGCUUUCUAGGACUGAAAUUGCAGCGAAUAUUUCAACCUAUUCUCAAGGAUUUAGAGACGUUUCUGAAGACAGAACAGAUGACACCUUGAAGAAGCGUCAGAGGAUGGCUUCAAUGAAGUCGGGGAAAGAAAUUUUAGAUGGACAGCCUCUUCCACUGUUCAGCAAUUUAGGGAAUAGGGAGAACGCCAUGUCUUCAAAGAAUAAUGCAGGUACUUCAUCUGGCGGUGAGGCAAUGAAGUAUCAAAUUGAUCUCAAUGAUGGCCAUAAUUCUAUUGGGUUGGGUAGAAGUGAGUGGACUUAUCCAGAGGGCAUAUCACGAGUUCCUCAGCAACCGAUCAAGCCUCAUGAAUUUCUUGAAAACAACACUUUAGCUGUUUCAUCAUCUUUUCGGGAUAAUGUUGGGUCAUGUUCUAAAAUUGUACCAUAUUUACUGAAUAGUGCUGCGGCUCCAACACAGUCCUUCGCAUAUUCGCAUGAAAACAUUGAUCAACCAAGCCCAGUUGUAGCAUCCAAAGAGCACCUCGCAGAUGCUAAACUUUGCAGCUAUUCUAACUUUUGGGUCCAUGAGAAGAAAGCUGAUAGCCUUUUCGAGUCCAGAAGAGUGGAGAAUUCACUGUCCAGGCAGAAUGUUGCACCUCUAUUACUUCAUGAUCAGUCAAGAAACAAUAGUCAGAAUAAGCAGAGUCAGAAAGUGGAACAUGAUUCUAGGCUUAGAUUGCUUCCAAGCUUGGGCAGUCCUGAGGCUGAGAAAUCAGGAAAAGCAUACGAUGAAUAUCUCUUGCUGCCUAGAAUACCUCGUUCUGUACAUGAUGUCAAGACCAUGAGAAUAUGUACCACUAUUGAUUCUGUGGAAGAAUUACCCACAGGUCCCUCCAAGAUUUCUCAAACAACUCACCAAUUUUUCAUUACAAAGAAGACUGGUGUUAACUUAACUGAAGGAGGACAAGAGUUCAGAGAUGCAACAGUCUCCCCCAAAUUGAAGGGAAAUAUGUUCAAUGAGUUCCUGAGCUUAUCUCCCAGUUUCAGUUUCCAUGGUCAGCAAGGAGUGAAACUGCAACCUCUGGAGAGCUCCACAGAUAGUGAAAGAAAAGAAAAUGUUCAGGACAUCAGAACUUCUACUGUUUGUUUAAAGAAUGAAUCAUCAGUUGAAACUGAUGCGAUGGAAUUGGAUGUUUUCCAGAAGAGCCUUCUUUCAGGAAUGGCUUUAUGUCCAUUAGAUCAGAACAUCAAGGGGGUUCAUAAACCAUCAUUAUCGGAAACUGGAAAUGGUAUUGGAGAAGCUGGGAAUGAAAUGGUCAACGGGGAAUCACCUGAUAUGAAUGAAAGGCUUCCUGCACUUCCAGCUGCAGCAAAUUCAAUAGAUGAUGGAGGGACAAGCACCUCUAGAACCCAGAGCCUAGAUGCAGAGCAUCUCCUUUUCCAUGCUGAGCAGCCUUCAAAUUCCAAUGCUACUGCUUGUCCAGAUGGUCCUCUGGAGCCAGAUCCAAGCAGCAGAUGGGUUAAACGUCUCAAAUUGAGCACCUCACAUCCUUUUGCUUCUGGUACUAAAAUCUCUAAAAUGGGAGAAGUUUCAUCCCGUGUAAAGAUGAACAAGAUCAGCAAAAUCAUGAAUUGCAGCAAAACAAGUUCAGAGCCCACAGUAGGUAGAAGCCACGUGAGAUCAAAAUUGGCACUGGAUCAACAUCCAGUGCUAUUAAAGAGUGGCGAGUCCAGUUCCAGUGGUUCAGGGAGGAAAAGUCAAGAAAUCUCUCUUUCGCGUACUUGGAUUCAUCGAUGGUGUCGUCACAUAGCUUCACCUCCAAACAAGAAGCCUGAUGCUGCAUUGCUAUGUGAACCACAGAGCUCAAAGGCAACAUCGGAUGAACUCCAAGAGAAGCAGUUUCCAAGCCUUGCAGCCAUGGCUUUGAUGGGGAAGGCCAUGAACAGUUUUCAUCCUUGUGAGUUUAGAAGGAAGGGGUCUUUGAUAGUUUGGAACACUUGAGAGCUUCCAAGGCAAUUCUAGCUAAAACCAUUUGUGGUGGAAAAACAAAUUGACCUUUAGGUUUUGCCGGGAGUGUUGGUGGUUCCAUUUGUUGCCGAGGGCAAUAGAUGCCUGCCCCAUCUUUAUUACGUAUGAUAAGAUAUUUGGCACAAAUGAAGUCAAAAUGUUGCCUAGGUAUGUUUCCUUCCUGCAUGCAUACAUUUCAUGUGACAUUUACAUCAAAGGGUAAAAGUUUUUGUAGCUGGGUUAUUUACGGAGGGAUCUUACAGAGGCCAUUUGUCUUGAAUGAGCACUUGGGUGGAGGAUGAAAGAGGCGAUCACAACAGCUAUCAUCUUUUCUUUUUGUUUUUCAGCUAAGAAUUACUUACUGCAACAAAAGCCCAUUGGCAUUUUCAUUUUGCAAAAAAGACUGUAAGUGUUUCUCCUCUACCCACAUUUUCUUGCCUUUCUCUUUCAAUCUUAUCAGUAGUGAUGACCGGGCACUAUUCUCUAUGAUGCUAUCGUAGAGCUACUAGAGUUCAGAUAGGGAAUAAGAGUUAUAGUACGCAGGGGCAGGGCUAAAUGUUCACAAAGCCAAAAGAAGCACGUAAGAGAAAGAUCUAUGGAAGUAUAAAGUGAAAGUUUUAAAAUUAAACUAGUUUUUAAUAUCAACUGAUUUUACGCUUUU